rnacentral:SRP_RNA from 1 species
GCCAGGCACAGGGCAUGCAAUUAUAUUCCCAGCUACUCAGAAGGCUGAGCCAUGAGGAUCCAUUGAGCCCAGGAGUUCUGGUGUGUGCCCUAUGGUAUCAGGUGUCUGCACUGAGUUCCGCAUCAAUCUGGUAACCUCCUGGGAAUGGGGAACGCCCUCAAGGAGUGAACUGGCCUCUGUCAGAAAUGGACCAGGUGAGAAGUUCUGUGCUGAUCCUUAGUGGGAUUGCACCUGUGGAGAGCCAUUGCACUUCAGCCUGGGCAACAUAAUGAGAUCCUGUCUCU